rnacentral:rRNA from 1 species
UACGGAGGGUGCAAGCGUUAUCCGGAUUCACUGGGUUUAAAGGGUGCGUAGGUGGGCAGGUAAGCCAGUGGUGAAAUCUCCGGGCUUAACCCGGAAACUGCCAUUGAUACUAUUUGUCUUGAAUACCGUGGAGGUCAGCGGAAUAUGUCAUGUAGCGGUGAAAUGCUUAGAUAUGACAUAGAACACCAAUUGCGAAGGCAGCUGGCUACACGAAUAUUGACACUGAUGCACGAAAGCGUGGGGAUCAAACAGG